rnacentral:rRNA from 1 species
ACGACUCUCAGCAACGGAUAUCUCAGCUCUCGCAUCGAUGAAGAACGCAGCAAAAUGCGAUACUUGGUGUGAAUUGCAAAAUCCCGUGAAUCAUCAAGUAUUUAAAUGCAAGUUGCGCCCGAACCCUUUCGGCCGAGGGCACGCUUGCCUGGGUGUCACGCAAUCGUCGCCCCCAACCCUUUCGCUAGAUCGAGAGGGGGGCAGAUUAUGGCCUCCCGUGCGCCUCGUGCAUGCGGUUGGCCUAAAAAUUGAGUCCCCGGCGACUAUCGCCAUGACAAUCGGUGGUUGUAAGACUCUCUGACACUGCCAUGCGUGCUCGUCUGCCAAGAGGGAACCCUCGAGACCCCGAUGCUGCCCUAAAGGGCAUGCUCCAACUGCGACCCCAGGUCAGGCGGGAUUACCCACUGAGUUUAAGCAUAUCAAUAAGCGGAGGAAAAGAAGCUUACCAAGAUUCCCCUAGUAACACCGAGCAAACCGGGAAUAGCCCAGCUUGAGAAUUGGGCGCCCUCGACAUUCGAAUUGUAGUCUGGAGAACCGUCCUCAGCGGCGGACUGGGCCCAAGUCCCCUGGAAGGGGGCGCCAUAGAGGGUGAAAGCCUCGUCGUGCCUGGACCCUAUCACACCACAAGGCGCUGUCUACGAGUUGGGUUGUUUGGGAAUGCAGCCCAAAUCGGGCGGUAAAUUCCGUCCAAGGCUAAAUACGGGCGAGAUAUCGAUAGCGAAUAAGUACCGCGAAGGAAAGAUGAAAAGGACUUUGAAAAGAGAGUCAAAGAGUGCUUGAAAUUUUCGGGAGGGAAGCAGAUAGGGGUCGGCGAUGUGCCCCGGUCGGAUGUGGAACGGCCAAAAGCCGGUCCGCCGAUCGGCUUAGGGUGCUGACCGAUGCAGAUUGCAGCGGCGGCCCAAGCCCAGGCUUUUGAUACGCCUGCGGAGAUGCCGUCGCAUCGAUUGUGGACUGCAGUGCACACCGUCACGGCGUGCUUCGACACCUGCGCGCUUCAGGAGUUGGCCAGCGGGCUCCCCAUUUGACCCGUCUUGAAACACGGACCAAGGAGUCUGACAUGUGUGCGAGUUAACGGGCGAGUAAACCCGUAAGGCGUAAGGAAGCUGACUGGCGGGAUCCCAUCGUGGGUUGCAUGGCCGACCGACCUUGAUCUUCUGUGAAGGGUUCGAGUGAAAGCAUGCCUGUCAGGACCUAAAAGAUGGUGAACUAUGCCUAAGUGGGGCGAAGCUAGAGGAAACUCUGGUGGAGGCCCGCAACGAUAUUGACGUGCAAAUCGUUCGUCUGACUUGGGUAUAGGGGCGAAAGACUAAUCGAACCGUCUAGUAGCUGGUUCCCUCUGAAGUUUCCCUCAGGAUAGUUGGAGCUCGGGACGAGUUCUAUUGGGUAAAGCCAAUGAUUAGAGGCAUCGGGGGCGCAACGCCCUCGACCUAUUCUCAAACUUUAAAUAGGUAGGACGGCAUGGCUGCUUCGUUGAGCCGGGCCACGAAAUUGAGAGCUCCAAAUGGGCCAUUUAUGGUAAGCAGAACUGGCAAUGCGGGAUGAACCGGAAGCCGGGUUACAGUGCCCAACUGCGGGCUAACCUGGAACCCACAAAGGGUGUUGGUCAAUUAAGACAGCAGGACGGUGGUCAUGGAAGUCGAAAUCCGUUAAGGAGUGUGUAACAACUCACCUGCUGAAUCAACUAGCCCCAAAAAUGGAUGGCGCUUAAGCGCGCGACCUAUACCCGGCCGUCAGGGCAAGAGCCAGGGCCCGAUGAGUAGGAGGGCGCUGCGGUCGCUGCAAAAUCCAGGGCGCGAGCCCGGGCGGAGCGGCCGCCGAUGCAGAUCUUGGUGGUAGUAGCAAAUAUUCAAAUGAGAACUUUGAAGGCCGAAGAGGGGAAAGAUUCCGCAUAUGGGUUAGUCGAUCCUAAGAGACAGGGGAAGCCCAUCUGACAGCGCGUCCGCACGCGAACUUUAAAAGGGAAUCGGGUUAAAAUUCCCAAACCGGGACAUGGCGACUAACGACAACGUUAGGGAGUCCGGAGACGUCGGCGAGGGUAUUGGGAAGAGUUAUCUUUUCUAUUUAACAGCCCGCCCACCCUGGAAACGACUUAGUCGGAGGUAGGGUCCAACAGUUGGAAGAGCACCGUGACCCUCCAUAUCACACAAAAAUGGGUCCUCGAAGGAGGUUGGGAUUAUAUAUAUUGGAUAUGAAUCUCCAUCUAUAAUUAAAAAAUUUGAGCCAUCAUUGGAUGGUGUUUUAUUGUAAAAUUUAAUGAUUGUUAUUUUAAUGUGGCUUUGUUUCCUAAGUUAGGGGGAGAGAACAAGCAAUUAGAGAAAUAAAUUAUUUAGAAUUAGCCAUCCUUAAAUCAUCUUGAUCAAUAUUCAAAAUAAUGUGAAUUAGAAAUUUAAAGGAUCAUUCAUUUGCAAAAUGUUGAGUAGAUGCGAAAGCUUCGACUAAUACGGAAUGAUAAAAUUAGUAUGAACACACAAGAAUUUAACGAGGUUCGGCAAAUUGCCUAUGUUCUCCAGGUGAUUGUUUUUUACUAUAUGAAGGAAUACACCAACAACUUGUACAAACCACAAGGUUGUUGUAGAAAAGAGCUUAUCCUCGCAAAGAAAUAUAACCUCUCUUUGUUUUCCCUCUCUUUUCUCUCUUGAUGAAGAAGUAUUCUUUUCUCACCUCUUUUUGUGAUUUCCUGAAGAUGAAUUGACUUAUUCUUCUUCUCUCUUUUCUCGCUUAUAUAGGAAUCUCUUAUAUCUCAAUUACCAUUCAAUAAAUAAAAAACUCCUAUUUUGGUAUUGCUCUUUUCACCGAUAAGAAUAAGACAUUCCUCCUUUCUUGGAUAAUUAUUCUUAACCACAAAUUAUGCUCACAAUUCUCCACCUUGUACACAAUUUGAAAAAACCUCAAAUUUUGGACGAAUACGAGAAUAACCACAUGUGUAAUAGACUUUAUCAUUUGGGUUGCAUCAUUAUACUCAUGACUGCCUACAUACCCUUUGAUCGGGAUCAAGCCAACCAUAGUUAUACUUGUCCUCCACAUAGUCUCCACCUUACUCGUAACCGUCUCGAAGGACUAUGCCCCUCUCGGGCGAUUUAAAAUGGGCCAAUUUGAAGCAAUUCCAAGCAGUGUUGGAACUUACUGCCUGUCACGACUUUGGUUAACAUG